AUUUUGGUUAUAGUCCGAAGCCCGCAGUAGAUAGUAAUACCUCCAAAAACGACGUCACUUGGAGUGAUCGUUUGACUCGAGAGUGAAGGCCAUCCUUUGGUCCGACGGGCAUCUACCAAAGGGAAAGAGUCGUGGGAGACAAAUACAGAAAUGACUUCGGUGAAGAUGAUCACGUCGAUGAGGUCAGUAGCCAGGACAGCUCUCCCUGGGGCGUCCUCAUCGCUUCUUUUCAAUCUCAGGCGGGUCCAUGUUCCUCGUCCUCAAGCCCAAGUCGUCAGGGCAUUCUCCGCUCUCUUAUCGCCGCCGUCCAAGGCCAUAGUCUAUGACCAGCACGGUUGCCCGGAUUCUGUCACCAGAGUAGUGGAGAUACCGCCAGUCGAAGUAAAAGCUAACGAUGUGUGCGUUAAAAUGCUGGCGGCUCCUAUUAAUCCUUCUGAUAUCAAUCGAAUUGAAGGAGUGUAUCCUGUGAGGCCUCCAGUGCCUGCAGUUGGAGGAUAUGAGGGCGUAGGGGAGGUGCAUUCCGUGGGUUCUGCAGUUAAGGGUCUUGAGCCUGGUGAUUGGGUCAUUCCUUCUCCACCCUCUUUUGGAACGUGGCAGACUUAUAUUGUACAAGAUCAGAAUGUCUGGCACAAAAUCAAUAAAGAGUCACCCAUGGAAUAUGCAGCAACAAUCACUGUUAAUCCUUUGACUGCUUUAAGAAUGCUUGAAGACUUCACUACUCUUAGUUCAGGAGAUUCUAUUGUGCAAAAUGGGGCUACAAGUAUUGUAGGACAGUGCAUAAUCCAGAUCGCAAAAUUCCAUGGCAUUCAUAGCAUAAAUAUAUUAAGGGACAGGCCUGGAUCAGAUGAAGCAAAGGAAAUGCUAAAGAAACUAGGUGCUGAUGAGGUGUUUACUGAGAGCCAACUGGAAGUGAAGAACGUCAAAGGUCUCCUGACUAGCAUACCAGAACCUGCUUUGGGAUUCAACUGUGUUGGUGGAAAUUCUGCUUCUUUGGUUCUCAAGUUCUUAAGGCAGGGUGGAACAAUGGUGACAUAUGGUGGAAUGUCUAAGAAACCUGUAACUGUAUCAACAUCAUCAUUCAUUUUCAAGUGUCACUGCUUCUGUGCUUCGCGUAUGCGUUUGUUUGUUGGCAGGAUCUAUCCUUGAGAGGAUUCUGGUUGCAAAAAUGGAUGACUUCAGAUAAAGCAAAAGAGUGCAGAAAUAUGAUAGAUUAUCUUCUAUCCCUAGCACGAGAAGGGAACUUGAAAUACGAGAUGGAGCUGGUUCCUUUUGACAAUUUUCACACAGCUUUGGACAAGGCACUUGGAAAACUAGGAAGCCAACCUAAACAAGUUUUAAAAUUCUAAAUCUCAAGGAGCCGAGGAAGGUUGCCUGAAUCCUCUUUUGCUUUAUACAUGGGGAUUCAUUUCAUUGCACUGUGUGGAACUAAUAAAAUGUUGUAAUUACUAAGAAUAUUUUAGUUUUCAAGAAGAAUUACUCUAGAGAUAUUCAAAGUUGGGAAAAAAAGAAAAGAAAAGAAAAAAAGCUGUAAACCUUGUUCUCUAGCUCGAUCUCCUCUGUUUAAUAAAUUUAUUAUUAAUAAUAAAAUAAGAAUAAAUA